UACGGGGGGGGCAAGCGUUGUUCGGAAUUACUGGGCGUAAAGGGCGCGUAGGCGGCCUUCUAAGUCAGACGUGAAAUCCCUCGGCUCAACCGAGGAACUGCGUCUGAUACUGGAAGGCUUGAAUCCGGGAGAGGGAUGUGGAAUUCCAGGUGUAGCGGUGAAAUGCGUAGAUAUCUGGAGGAACACCGGUGGCGAAGGCGGCAUCCUGGACCGGUAUUGACGCUGAGGCGCGAAAGCAUGGGGAGCGAACAGG
rnacentral:rRNA from 1 species